AUCGAGCAUCCGCACAGUGUCGAUUGCGUGUGUGUUGCAUUAGAAGGCAAAUUUCAAUUGAACUUGCGCACAGGACUCACACUAAUGACGAAUAUAUACAACGGGUACUUCAAUAGGGACGCUACAAAAGUAGACCGAUAGGGACAGUACACGACGCCAUAUUUUUUCCCGCUCUCUUGACAUUUCUCUCCAGUAAGGUUUGCCAUUUCAUAAUGGAAAGAUAUACGAUCCAACAACGAGUCGAGAUUAUUCAAAUUUACUACCGAAAUUCGGAGUCAGUGGACUCAACUUUAAGAGCGCUAGGUCCAAUUUAUGGUCCUAAUGAUUGUCCUGCCAGAUCAACAAUUGAGCGUCUAUGAGACAAUGAAGGGCCCGUAGUGUCGAGAAUAUUGCUGCCGCUAGCGCAUCAAUUGAGGAAGACCCAAAUCAGUUUAUGCUAACAAAUGGCAAAUGUUUUCGAACGUGAAAUUGCAGCAGUAUCGGCCGAUUUAUGCUUGAAAACCGUCGAAAAUUGGGUUCAGCGUCUGGACAUCUGCAAGCGUGCCCCUGGUGGCCAUGCGAAAGAAAUCGAGUUCCAUACAUCAUCCAGCAGGCAUCAAAUUUACUUUCACAUGAAUAAAGAAUUUCAUUGAUAUCCAAAA